UACGUAGGGUCCAAGCGUUAUUCGGAAUUACUGGGCGUAAAGCGUACGUAGGCGGUUUGGUAAGUUGGAUGUGAAAUCCCCCUGCUCAACGGGGUGGACUGUGUCCAAAACUACCUAACUAGAGCAUAGUAGAGGCAAGUGGAAUUUGCGGUGUAGGAGUGACAUCCGUAGAUAUCGCAAGGAACACCAAUGGCGAAGGCAGCUUGCUGGGCUAUUGCUGACGCUCAGGUACGAAAGCGUGGGGAGCGAA
rnacentral:rRNA from 1 species